AUUGAACGCUGGCGGCAGGCCUAACACAUGCAAGUCGAGCGGAUGAAGGGAGCUUGCUCCUGGAUUCAGCGGCGGACGGGUGAGUAAUGCCUAGGAAUCUGCCUGGCAGUGGGGGAUAACGUCCGGAAACGGGCGCUAAUACCGCAUACGUCCUGAGGGAGAAAGUGGGGGAUCUUCGGACCUCACGCUAUCAGAUGAGCCUAGGUCGGAUUAGCUAGUUGGUGGGGUAAAGGCCUACCAAGGCGACGAUCCGUAACUGGUCUGAGAGGAUGAUCAGUCACACUGGAACUGAGACACGGUCCAGACUCCUACGGGAGGCAGCAGUGGGGAAUAUUGGACAAUGGGCGAAAGCCUGAUCCAGCCAUGCCGCGUGUGUGAAGAAGGUCUUCGGAUUGUAAAGCACUUUAAGUUGGGAGGAAGGGCAGUAAGUUAAUACCUUGGUGUUUUGACGUUACCAACAGAAUAAGCACCGGCUAACUUCGUG
rnacentral:rRNA from 1 species